rnacentral:rRNA from 1 species
CGCGCAGCAUUCUGUAGCAAUACAGGGUGUGGGCGCGUGGCGAACGGGUGCGUAACACGUGGAUAACCUUCCUUGAGGUGGGGAAUAACCCAGUGAAAAUUGGGCUAAUACCGCAUAACAUCGCGAUGGCACAUGCUGAUGCGAUCAAAGGCGCAAGUCGCCACAAGAGGGAUCCGCGGCCGAUUAGCUUGUUGGCGAGGUAAUGGCUCACCAAGGCAAUGAUCGGUAGCCGGACUGAGAGGUUGGCCGGCCACACUGGAACUGAGACACGGUCCAGACUCCUACGGGAGGCAGCAGUGGGGAAUCUUGCACAAUGGACGAAAGUCUGAUGCAGCAACGCCGCGUGGGGGAUGAAGCUUCUCGGAGUGUAAACCCCUUUCGACCCGGAAGAAUGCCCGCAAGGGUAUGACGGUACGGGUAUAAGAAGCCCCGGCUAACUACGUGCCAGCAGCCGCGGUAAUACGUAGGGGGCCAGCGUUGCUCGGAAUUACUGGGCGUAAAGGGUCCGUAGGCGGUGUAGCAAGUCGAUAGUGAAAUCUCUGGGCUUAACCCAGAGGCUGCUAACGAAACUGCUGUGCUAGAGUGUGAGAGAGGCGAGUGGAAUUACGGGUGUAGCGGUGAAAUGCGUAGAUAUCCGUAGGAACAUCCGAGGCGAAGGCGGCUCGCUGGAUCACAACUGACGCUGAGGGACGAAAGCUAGGGGAGCAAACAGGAUUAGAUACCCUGGUAGUCCUAGCCCUAAACCAUCAGGACUUGGGGUUUGCCCUGUACGGGGCAAGUCCCGUAGCUAACGCGUUAAGUCCUGCGCCUGGGGAGUACGGUCGCAAGGCUGAAACUC